AGUAACACGUGGAUAACCUACCUAUAAGACUGGGAGUAACUUCGGGAAACCGGAAGCUAAUACAGGAUAAUAUUUUGAACCGCAUGGUUCAAAAGUGAAAGACGGUCUUGCUGUCACUUAUAGAUGGAUCCGCGCUGCAUUAGCUAGUUGGUAAGGUAACGGCUUACCAAGGCAACGAUGCAUAGCCGACCUGAGAGGGUGAUCGGCCACACUGGAACUGAGACACGGUCCAGACUCCUACGGGAGGCAGCAGAC
rnacentral:rRNA from 1 species